rnacentral:lncRNA from 1 species
CAAAAGGCCAAAUAAAGUACAAACUAUUCUUAGAUUGAUUGAUAGGUUGAUUUUUAACACUACUUUCUGCACUAUAGUGCUAUUUUGAGACAAUCAAUUUUAUUUAGUGGAGGAAGCCUUAGAGUUACCAGAGAAAACCAACAAGCCAUAGAUAGGAAAAAACUGACACUCCUAAUCAAUAAACACCUUUGCCUCCAAUCCCGC